AUCGCUUCUCGGCCUUUUGGCUAAGAUCAAGUGUAGUAUCUGUUCUUAUCAGUUUAAGGUAGCUGUUUUCUCUUUAUAACAAAUAGUAUUAUCUAAGCAAAGCAAAUUCUCACUCUUC
ensembl:snRNA U2 U2 spliceosomal RNA